CUACGGAGGUUGCAAGCGUUACUCGGAAUCACUGGGCGUAAAGCGCAUGCAGGCGGUCUAAUAAGUUGGAAGUGAAAGCCUAUGGCUCAACCAUAGAACUGCUUCCAAAACUGUUAGACUAGAGUCUGGGAGGGGAAGAUGGAAUUAGUAGUGUAGGGGUAAAAUCCGUAGAGAUUACUAGGAAUACCAAAAGCGAAGGCGAUCUUCUGGAACAGUACUGACGCUGAGAUGCGAAAGCGUGGGGAGCAAACAGGAUUAGAAACCCUAGUAGUCC
rnacentral:rRNA from 1 species